UACAGGAAUACAAUUUCGAAAUUACGUCAGUUUUAUGUACUCCUAGUACCUUCCAUUUUCCGGACUCCCUGUGAUUCCGCAUCUAAGAUACUUCCGUAUGGCAAAAACACGCCGAAAAUUCUGGUGCUCACUCCGUCGGUCAUCGCGGUCGUAAAAUUUAUGACCAUACACACUGGACAACAUAAUUCGGUGUGGAUAUUUCAAAGAGCUUUCGGCUUUAGCGGAUUAAGAACGCGUGUUGGCCGAAAAAGGGGCGUGAAAGGGGAUAAGGUUGGGUAUUUGGCGGACCGAAAGGACGAGGCUGUUAUAUUUGUAUGGCUUUUCAAUUGUGGCCGGCCAUAUUGUACUUUCAGCGCUCACGGGAGUUGAAUAAAUCAGGAGUGAUACGAAAUUAAUGGAGGAAUUGCAGAACGGCAUGUGAAAAGGGAUUUUUGGAUUCAUUGAAUUUUGUUGCAUUUAUUGUAUUAUUUUCCAUAGAUUUUGUCGAUUUCA